rnacentral:sRNA from 4 species
CUAUCUGACGCGUACAGUGGGGUGUGCGAGCGCCGUCCACACCCACCUGACCAUUGCUCGCUCUGUUUUGGUAGUC